GUAGGUGGCAAGCGUUGUCCGGAUUUAUUGGGCGUAAAGGGAGCGCAGGCGGUCUUUUAAGUCUGAAUGUGAAAGCCCUCGGCUUAACCGAGGAACGGCAACUGAAACUGUUUUUCUUGAGUGCAGAAGAGGAGAGUGGAACUCCAUGUGUAGCGGUGAAAUGCGUAGAUAUAUGGAAGAACACCAGUGGCGAAAGCGGCUCUCUGGUCUGUUACUGACGCUGAGGCUCGAAAGCAUGGGUAGCGAACAGGAUUAGAUACCCUGGUAGUCCAUGCCGUAAACGAUGAAUACUAAGUGUUGGAAGGUUUCCGCCUUUCAGUGCUGUAGCAAACGCAAUAAGUAUUCCGCCUGAGUAGUACGACCGCAAGGUUG
rnacentral:rRNA from 1 species